CCUCCGCUGCGCCCCGCCGGCCCUCGCGCGCCCGCCCCGGCCUCUCCCAGCGCGCCCGGGGGCCGCUAGCCGGCGCUGGGCCUAGCCUGGAGCCGGGGGGGAGCCUCCCGCCACCUCCUCCCCCGAGGUGCAGCCGCUGUGGGGCGCAGCUAAUCCCGGGACCCACCCAACACCCUCCGGCCAGAGCCCCCGUGGCCUAGCGCCCCCCCGGUGCGCCUCAGGCACCCCAGCCAAGAGGUCAAACAAAAGCUCCACCUCAAAAGCAGAUGAAAACGAUGCUUGGAUGAUCCCUCUUCUGCAGCAAAGUGUAACCUGGAACCAAAACCCAUCUGCCGAGCAACAUCCCUGUGCUCCACUAAGCCAAGAUGCAAAAACCAAAUGCUACGAUCCAUUGUGCACAAAUCUGAACCCAACCCUACUUAACAUUUAGUGUUUUUCUUUUUUGUUAAAUCCCUGUUUUUUAAAAUAGAAGCUUUUGGCAAUUA